UCAGCAUUGUGAACAAUUUGCCUAUAAGGAAAUAUUCCUUACAAGCCACUGCUAUAAGAAUAUUUUGGACUGCACUACACCUACAAGUAAAUGACUUCAAACUGUUUGUUUUCUGAGAUUUUUCUUCAGUAUUUGGGUUGCUGUUCUAUCUAUUGAAGUGGGUACUACAAUGUUAUUCGAGAAUUGUUCUUUCCAAAUCAUCGACACUAUGCAGAAAGGUAGGAUUCAUUAAUUUACCUUUUCCUGGAAAUAAGGAUAACAAUCUCUACAUGCAGUUGAUUGCUAAAGAAAGAGUUUGUGACAUGUAAUUGUUUUUUGGGCACUAGAGUGUAGGACUACAAGAGAAGCAUUAUGCAGAUGCCGAACAUGGUAUAUUAUGGGACAUUUGUAAUGUUGUAUACCCAAAG